rnacentral:rRNA from 1 species
AUUGAACGCUGGCGGCAGGCCUGACACAUGCAAGUCGAGCGCGAAAGUUCUUCGGAAUGAGUAAAGCGGCGGACGGGUGAGUAAUACAUGGGAAUCUGCCUGGUAGUGGGGGACAACGUUUCGAAAGGAACGCUAAUACCGCAUACGCCCUACGGGGGAAAGGGGGGGAUCUUCGGACCUCUCGCUAUCAGAUGAGCCCA